UUUUUCUUUUUGGUGGGUUUCGUUUAAUUUUUUCCUCUUUUCCGAGAUAAUAUACUGGAUAGUGGAUUACAAGUCAUGGCCAGGUAUUAUUUCCUCAAACAAUCCACCGCCCGAUCCUUCCAUCCUCUAAUCGAUGUGUCCACCGCUUGCUUCUUCCUCCACCAUCUCUCUUCGAUCGCUGUAAAUGCCGACAGCCACAAAAAUCUGCUUUCGAUUCAAGAUGUCUUUGGUAAAAAAUAACUAUGCCAUGUCAGGUCUACCCCCAAGACGGUUCCUUAGUUUUGCGUCUUUCCUAAUUUCUCCGUCUUCAUACGGUUAUGUCUCGGUUCCGCUCCUCCCAUUUUCACUUUCUGGCCAACGCUCCUCAAUGGCUCCGCGACGGCACACAGUUUCUCAUCAGGUAAAUUUCUGAUUUUAGAUCCUCAAUUUGAUCGUUUAUGUUUUCUUUUAUUUUUUUUAUUUUUAAAAAUUGGUUUUUUUCUCUGAACCCUAACCAAAUCCUUCCGAUUUACUCUUUCUUUGAUUUUGAUUUGUUGUUUCUUCUUUUAAUACUAUUGGAUAUUUUUAAGGUUUCAUUUCAGUGAAAGUUUCGUAUUUUUUUAGUAAUCAAAUUAGUAUUAGUCGAUAUCUUUAUGCACAUGUUCUAACUUGACUUCUUAAUCAUCAAUUUAUGAAACUGAAGAUCGCUUGGGAUAUAAGGUUGUGAAUUUAAUAUUCAUUACAAAUCACUAUUUCAGUUAAUGUGGAUUCUCCUUCCUUAUGAUCACUAAAAAUUAUAACCUUAAAUGUCAAUUUAUCUCUUAAUCAGUAUUCUCUGAGGCUGCAUUUGUAUUUUAUUUGUGCAUAUUCGCAGGCGACUUUCUAAGUUCAAGUUGGUUUUACGGGAAUUGUUUUUUUCCGGUGUUGACAAGCCUAUAACAUGUUCUGAUUUUGCUUAAACAACAAUCAACUUAAAAUGAAGACCACAACAUCAAUGACCAAGCCAAGUUCUGAUUUUGCUUCUACUUUUCCUAUGUUCUUUUGUCACUUUGGUCAUUACUCUUGUUCUUUAAAGUCUUCUAACUGUAAUUAUAAUCAACUUCAUUAAGUAAUAUAAAAUAAUUAUUGUAAUUUGUCGCUGACCAGUAAAAGGAAUGAGAAGGAUUUAGAAAGCUUAAGUGUUCCACCUAAAUAUAGAAGCAUGAACUCUUUCUGGAAAUACUACUCAGGAGAAAAAGUAGCCCCAUUUCCAACUAUAUUCAUUGGAGAAAUUCAUGAAGCUUCCAAUUACCUCUGGGAAUUAUACUAUGGAGGAUGGGCAGCACUGAUAUUUACUUCUUGGGAUUUGCAGGGAGUGUCAAAUUUGGGGGUAUUCGCAUUGGGGGCAUUUCUGGAAUUUACAAGUCCCGAGAUUAUUGUUCAGGUUAGUUAUAUGUUGAACUUUACAAAAAUAAAAAAAUGUACACCUAUUCUCACAAGAAUCAUACAUUAGAGUUUUAUAGUUUAUACUAGGGUUAUUUUCUUGAUUAAACAGGACAUUUUCAAGGGCUCCAUAUAACAAUAGUGAUAUAAAGUCAGUAUAUCAUGUGAGGGAAUUUGAUGUUCACAAACUCAUGCAAAUUGAAGAACCUGUUGACAUUUUUGUGUUACAGAAGGUCGUACUAUGUCUGUUCCCGGAGACUAUUCAAUGCAUUAUGUUAAUUUCAGAUAUAUGAUGUGAAUUUUACUUAUUUUCAUUGGAGUUUUGAGGAAAUGGAAGGAAAAACAUUUUUUUUAAAAAAUUCAACACAUAAAGGGGAAAGUCUCUUUUGCUUGACAAAGAAGUUGUAGUCUUAAUGAAGGUGGUGAGACAGAAAGAUGGCAUGCCAAGAAGCAUGAUUCUGCAAUGGAACACAGUCCAACUAUGAAAAAUCUCAAGGUUAUGUUGGUUUAAUAUACAUUUUCUCUCCUCCCCUGUCAUUGAAAUGUAGAUGCAUAAAAUUAGUUUGUUUUAUAUGGAAUACUUUUUAUUCUUCAUUUGUGAUCUGUCUUUAGUUGAUAAACAUUGUUAAUGUUGUUUCAGGGGUAGUUUUGCCAUUAAUAUAAGUCAUAAAACAGCUGAAUUUUAAUGGUUUGGAUUGAGGUCUUACAAAGAAAACAGAAAAAGGAAACGUAAAAUUGGUGAGAUUAAGUAAAUCUUUAUUUUUGCCAAAUUAGUUUAUGUUAUAAUAAUAAGUGUUCUUUUUGAUGUUAUUUUUGUGAUUGAUGAUGAUGUUAGACUUACUGUCGUUGCACUUGCAGGCACAUAGGGAAGCUAACAAC